UACCGUCAUUUCAAUCCAGUCGAUACUUUGAUUCUGUUUGGAAGAGAAGCUCCACUUCAAGCAUCAAGAUGAAGGCUGCUGUUGUUCUGGCUGUUCUUGCUGCGCUGCUGUGUGCCAGCACUGUCAACUGUGAGUGCGCGUGUUCCCGCAUCCUUGACCCCGUCUGUGACACCGCCGGCAACUACUACGACAAUUCGUGCCUGUUGAACUGUGUUGAGGGUGCCGUCCAGGCCGCAGAGGGCGCCUACACUGUCAGUGGAAACUCCUGUGUUGCUGCUAGGAAGUAGAUGGCCUUAACCUUUGACGACAUGGAGCGUCUACGACCACAGAAGCACAUAUUGCCUGUGCAAUAAAAUUUAGAAGCAAUC
rnacentral:lncRNA from 1 species